rnacentral:rRNA from 1 species
UUGCCCUAGUAACGGCGAGUGAAGCGGCAACAGCUCAAAUUUGAAAUCUGGCCUUCGGGUCCGAGUUGUAAUUUGUAGAGGAUGCUUUUGGUGCGGUGCCUUCCGAGUUCCCUGGAACGGGACGCCAUAGAGGGUGAGAGCCCCGUCUGGUUGGAUACCAAUCCUCUGUAAAGCUCCUUCGACGAGUCGAGUAGUUUGGGAAUGCUGCUCUAAAUGGGAGGUAUAUGUCUUCUAAAGCUAAAUACCGGCCAGAGACCGAUAGCGCACAAGUAGAGUGAUCGAAAGAUGAAAAGCACUUUGAAAAGAGGGUUAAACAGUACGUGAAAUUGUUGAAAGGGAAGCGCUUGUGACCAGACUUGGGCAUGGUUAAUCAUCCAGCGUUCUCGCUGGUGCACUUGGCCUGCCCAGGCCAGCAUCAGUUCGGUGCGGGGGAUAAAGGCUUCGGGAAUGUGGCUCCUCCGGGAGUGUUAUAGCCCGUUGUGCAAUACCCUGCGCUGGACUGAGGUUCGCGCAUCUGCAUGGAUGCUGGCGUAAUGGUCAUCAGCGACCCGUCUUGAAACACGGACCAAGGAGUCGUCCUCGUAUGCGAGUGUUCGGGUGUUAAACCCCUACGCGUAAUGAAAGUGAACGCAGGUGAGAGCUUCGGCGCAUCAUCGACCGAUCCUGAUGUUCUCGGAUGGAUUUGAGUAAGAGCAUACGGGGCCGGACCCGAAAGAAGGUGAACUAUGCCUGUAUAGGGUGAAGCCAGAGGAAACUCUGGUGGAGGCUCGCAGCGGUUCUGACGUGCAAAUCGAUCGUCAAAAUAUGGGCAUGGGGGCGAAAGACUAAUCGAAC